GGGUCGGAAGAUGAGACCAUCAUCACGUCAUUACAAGAAAGGACUUUUGCCCAAAACCAAAGGAGGGAGUUUGCGAAAAAGAGAGUUGCUGGCAUUACAGAGACACAGGAGUCAGAAGAUGCGGACAGUGUGACGCCACUGCCAGACAGCACAUCUGCAGCAUCUGCCCAAAACCAGAGAAGCUCUGCAAAAACUAGAGAUGGCAGUAUACCAGAAGCUCAGGAAUCAGAAGAUGAGGCCAGCACCGCAUCACUACAAGAGAGGACCUCUACAGCGUCUGCCCAAAACCAGACAAGGUUUUCAAAAAAGAGAGGUAAACAAACUGUUGUUAAAAGAACCUGGACACCAGAGGAAUGUGCUGCAGUAGAACGCCAUUUAAAGAAAUUCAUUCUGAUGAACCAAGUCCCAGG